ACGGCUCAGUAACACGUAGUCAACCUAACUCGUGGACGUGGAUAACCUCGGGAAACUGAGAAUAAACCACGAUAGAUCAUAAUGCCUGGAAUGGCUUAUGGUCCAAACAGUUUACUGCCAUGGGAUGGGACUGCGGCCUAUCAGCUUGUUGGUGAGGUAAUGGCCCACCAAGGCGAUUACAGGUACGGGCUCUGAGAGGAGAAGCCCGGAGAUGGGUACUGAGACACGGACCCAGGCCCUAUGGGGCGCAGCAGGCGAGAAACCUUAGCAAUGUGCGAAAGCACGACUGGGUCAGUCCGAGUGAUUCCUGAUAAAGGAGUCUUUUGCUUGUCCUAAAAGCACAGGUGAAUAAGGGGUGGGCAAGUCUGGUGUCAGCCGCCGCGGUAAUACCAGCACCUCGAGUGGUCAGGACGUUUAUUGGGCCUAAAGCAUCCGUAGCCGGCUCUGCAAGUCUUCGGUUAAAUCCACCUGCUCAACAGAUGGGCUGCUGGAGAUACUACAGAGCUAGGGAGUGGGAGAGGCAGACGGUAUUCAGUGGGUAGGGGUAAAAUCCUCUGAUCCAUUGAGGACCACCAGUGGCGAAGGCGGUCUGCCAGAACACGUUCGACGGUGAGGGAUGAAAGCUGGGGGAGCAAACCGGAUUAGAUACCCGGGUAGUCCCAGCUGUAAACGAUGCAAACUCGGUGAUGCAUUGGCUUAUGGCCAAUGCAGUGCCGCAGGGAAGCCGUUAAGUUUGCCGCCUGGGAAGUACGGACGCAAGUCUGAAACUUAAAGGAAUUGGCGGGGGAG
rnacentral:rRNA from 1 species